GGUUGUCGUGGCUGAGUGGUUAAGGCAAUGGACUAACAAUCCAUUGGGGUCUCCCCGUGCAGGUUCAAAUCCUCCUGCAAACA